AAGUCGUAACAAGGUUUCCGUAGGUGAACCUGCGGAAGGAUCAUUAACACGUAUCCAACGUAAAAAACCCCCCUGUGAACAUUCAAACCUGCGGUAAAUCAUUGUCGAACAGUAUUGAUUCGGGACUUCUGACAAAUGAGAAGUUACAGUUACGAUUGAGCGGAGAUAGCUGCAUGGCAUCCCGAAGCAGUCAGUGUCUGAAAGUGUCAUUGAUUGUCUAAGGAUCUCGCCUCAACGAUUGCCAGAGGUCGCUCACCGACCGGCAGACAUGCAACCGGGUCCCCACGCCCCUUUACAACCCCAUUACCUCUGUGAGUCGCGGGAAACUAGCGGCUAAAAAACCUCGAACAACUGUUAACAAUGGAUAUCUUGGUUCUC
rnacentral:misc_RNA from 1 species